GGAGGAUGUAGCUCAGUCGGUUAGAGCACUAGAUUGUGGUUCUAGGGGUCGUGGGUUCGAGCCCCAUCUUCCUCCC
rnacentral:tRNA from 1 species